AUCCCGUGGUGAGGACAUGCUAGGAUGUACUCCUGAAGCCGCUCCCAUGCUUCAAGAAUUGAUUCAUUUGAUGCCUGCUGGAAGCUAGUAAUUCUUCCACAAAGGGC